rnacentral:rRNA from 1 species
UACGAAGGGGGCUAGCGUUGCUCGGAAUCACUGGGCGUAAAGCGCACGUAGGCGGCCUCUUAAGUCGGUGGUGAAAUCCUGGAGCUCAACUCCAGAACUGCCUUCGAUACUGAGAGUCUCGAGUCCGGGAGAGGUGAGUGGAACUGCGAGUGUAGAGGUGAAAUUCGUAGAUAUUCGCAAGAACACCAGUGGCGAAGGCGGCUCACUGGCCCGGUACUGACGCUGAGGUGCGAAAGCUAGGGGAGCAAACAGG